rnacentral:lncRNA from 1 species
CGGAUCAAUAUGCAUAUAUUGACUCAUGGCUAGGGUUAGCUCAAGACCCUCCUACUUGGACAAGGUUCUGUAUCCAGAAGGGAAAGGGAAAAAUAUUAAUGGCACAAAAAUUGACUGAUGAUAAAAAGGGAAAUUCUACAGGAUUUGGACGGGGAUAACCUGACCCCUCCCCCAUACUGGAUAAUGACACGCCUGCCUCCCAGUGCUCCACCAGGACCGGAGGCCGCCUUACUGCCCAAUCCAGGGCCAGGUGAAGCUCUUGCAGCAGCCACUGCUCUUCUACCAGCUCUCUCGGAAUCUGUAGAGCCGCCGUUUCAGCAGGCUCCAAUGCCAGCAAUGGAGACCUCUGGUCAAUGCCCCCAGAUUCCACCUCAGCUGGACCUCCUAGAUUGUAUCCACCUGUCCCGUAACCCCUCAAGAUGAAUGCAGGUUGCACGAUCUCCAGGAAGGGAAACCGGACAGGCUAAACAGUCAAGAGAGAGAGUUAACUCAACAAUCCCCUGAGGUCUGGGAGGAAGAAAACCCACCCCAGGCUUGAAAAACAAGUCCCACUGGUAAUAGAACUCAAACCCAAUACAAUUAUGUCAGCACCCGCCUAAGGCCUGCUAGACCUUGCUAAGCUGUUUACUCUUUACGUGACUGAAAAGGACAAGGUGGCUACGAGAGUGUUGUCCCAGACUAUGGGGACAUUGGCAGACCAGUGACUCAUCUCUAAUCAGCUAGACAAUGCUGCCACUGGGUGGCUGGGAUGCUUACGGGCAGUUGCUGCAGUUGCCUUACUGGUCCAGGAGGCAACCAAGCUGACUUUGGGCCAAGAUUUGUUCAUAAAAGUCCCGCAUGAGGUCAAUACUCUCCUGCGAGGGGACCCCCAUAAAGGCUGUCAACAUGCCGGAUUACUCAAUACCAGCGACUGUUAUGUGAGAACCCCCAUGUUACUACUGAGCCUUGUCAGGCCCUGAAUCUAGCCACUCUCUUUCUUGCGGGAGAAGGUGGGCCCUCACAUGAUUGCAAGGAAAUAUGCCAGCAGCCCUGACU